rnacentral:rRNA from 1 species
AGCAGUAGCCGCGGUAAUACGGAGGGUGCAAGCGUUAAUCGGAAUUACUGGGCGUAAAGCGCACGCAGGCGGUCUGUCAAGUCAGAUGUGAAAUCCCCGGGCUUAACCUGGGAACUGCAUUUGAAACUGGCAGGCUAGAGUCUUGUAGAGGGGGGUAGAAUUCCAGGUGUAGCGGUGAAAUGCGUAGAGAUCUGGAGGAAUACCGGUGGCGAAGGCGGCCCCCUGGACAAAGACUGACGCUCAGGUGCGAAAGCGUGGGGAGCAAACAGGAUUAGAUACCCCUGUAGUCCCUGUCUCUUAUAC